rnacentral:rRNA from 1 species
AGGAAUCUACCUAGUAGUACGGAAUAAUUGUUGGAAACGACAACUAAUACCGUAUACGCCCUACGGGGGAAAAAUUUAUUGCUAUUAGAUGAGCCUAUAUUAGAUUAGCUAGUUGGUGGAGUAAUAGCCUACCAAGGCAAUGAUCUAUAGCUGAUCUGAGAGGAUGAUCAGCCACACUGGAACUGAGAUACGGUCCAGACUCCUACGGGAGGCAGCAGUGGGGAAUAUUGGACAAUGGGCGAAAGCCUGAUCCAGCCAUGCCGCAUGAGUGAAGAAGGCCUUUGGGUUGUAAAGCUCUUUUAGUGAGGAAGAUAAUGACGGUACUCACAGAAGAAGUCCUGGCUAACUCCGUGCCAGCAGCCGCGGUAAUACGGAGAGGGCUAGCGUUAUUCGGAAUUAUUGGGCGUAAAGGGCGCGUAGGCUGGUUAAUAAGUUAAAAGUGAAAUCCCGAGGCUUAACCUUGGAAUUGCUUUUAAAACUAUUAAUCUAGAGAUUGAAAGAGGAUAGAGGAAUUCCUGAUGUAGAGGUAAAAUUCGUAAAUAUUAGGAGGAACACCAGUGGCGAAGGCGUCUAUCUGGUUCAAAUCUGACGCUGAAGCGCGAAGGCGUGGGGAGCAAACAGGAUUAGAUACCCUGGUAGUCCACGCUGUAAACGAUGAAUGUUAAAUAUGGGAAGUUUACUUUCUGUAUUACAGCUAACGCGUUAAACAUUCCGCCUGGGGACUACGGUCGCAAGAUUAAAACUCAAAGGAAUUGACG